CAGAGGAGGAUCCGGUCAGUGAGUCUGCGGCUGAACCUUUUACAGAGCUUUCACACUGAGGCAUUAAGAAUUUCAAACUCAAUCAGAGAGUUAAACUAAAGUGACGCCGAUGAUACAAGGAUGACGAGUGAAAACGUUUCUUCAUGAAUCUGCAUUUUUAACAUCUCUGACCUCAGUUUGGAUUAAAGCUUCUUAAACCUGGACCAUCCCUGACAAGCUUAGACUUUAUCCGAGGUUUUAGUUUUGCUUGUUUUGAGCCAAAAUCUUAUUUUUGACAAAUCCAGUCAUGGUUUUCGUUAACGUUGUAAUCUUUGGGGUUGAAAAUGACCUCCUCUGAGCUGCAGAUCCAUCCUCCUUCUUUCAGACCUGAAUAACUCUCUACAAUCACAGAAAGGGUUCAGUCUGAGGUCCACCUCUGUUAGGUCUAUGUAUGCUCCCCUUUAGAAAGACAUCAUCCAGACUCAGAGUUACUUUUAGGAGGGGGAGGUGAUCACAGGAGACAGAGAGGAGCAUCAAAAUAAAACAGGAAACAUCAGGAUCUGAACUCUCAGCGCCACAGCCCGACAUGAUAAUCACAAUUUUCUCAUUUAUUGAUGAUUUUUCUAACAAUAUCUGAGAGAAUCAAACCGACGUUAGUGUCUGAAUGACUUCACUCAGUCUGUGGUGACUUAAUGAAGCAGUUCAUGAUGGAUUUAUUCAGCGAUAUUCCUCCAACCAGCUGUCCACCAGUACGAGGAGGAAACCAGAACAGGGGGGAGACUGGGAGGGACGGAGUGAGGUAAAAAUAGAGAGGGGGGGGGGGCAUGGAGGUAAAGAAGAAGGGAGGGGCAGGAGCUCUCAGGGGAAUUCAGAGAGAGAGAGAGAGAGAGAGAGAGAGAGGCUGCAAUGAAAGAGGCUGAUGUCAUCGCUGUGAGGCGGCCAAUCAGAGCGCAGCAGGGAGGGAGGAAGGGAGGGAGGAGAGGCAGAGCUCAGAUGGGUGUGUUUUAUGUACCACUGCAGCAUCAGUGUAAAAAAGGAGAGGAGAAAAGGCACGACUGAGUGGACGAGAGAGAAGACAUAAAGACAGAGGAGAAGAAGAAGAAGGAGAAAGAGAAGAAGAAGAAGAGAGCGAGGAGACGAGGAGACAAAGGGAUAAAAGACGAGAGGAGCUGCAGAAAGAGAGGACACACCUGCAGAGGUAAGAGGAAAACAAAAGCGUAUAAGCAUGCUGUGUGAGUCUGGGUCUCCAUGGAUGAUUGUGUCUUCAUCUGUGUGUGUGUGUGUGUGUGUGUGUGUGUGUGUGUGUGUGUGUGUGUGUGUGUGUGUAGUGGGCUGUGCGAUAGAUGUGGGCUCCAGGGUGUGAUGGUGUCUUACAUAAUAGAAAAGCAGGUAUGAGGAGCUGUGCUGGGCGUGCUCGGAUGAAUCUGUGUCACUGUCUUUACGUCGGUGUCUGGGUGUGUGUGUGUGUGUGUGUGUGUGCCUUUACACUUACAAAAAAAACACACAAAAUGACCAUUCACAAAACAGAGAGCGUGUGCGUAAAUCAGCCUUCUUCAGGGAGGGUCUGACUGACUUGAUUCAGCUUUUUAAUAUCUCCUGUGUCAUCUGCAGCGGCGUGUUUGGAUGAAUAUUAGAUGAAAUGCUGCACUACACAACAUCUCAGCGCUCAAUUAUUAAUGCCUGGUUAGUAGUGCACUUCCUUUCAUGCUCAAACUCUUAGGGCAUCUCUCUGUCAGGUAUUAUUUCAUCCUCUUAGUGCAGGGAUUUCACGCACAUAAACAGCUCCACUUAAAUCUGAGCUUCUUCUUCUCUCCUCGUCCUCUGGUGUUAGAGACGACAGAGGUUCAUGUCGCUCUGAGAAAGUGUGUCUGAGUAAGUCCGAGCAGAGUGCAACAGGGCAGCGAGCUGGACUGUCAGCUCUUAUUGUUGGAGUCCUGAACUGUCCUGAUCACUAAAAACCUGAAACUAAAGUGGAGCAGCUGACAAACCAGCAGACUGACAGUUUGUCUGUGUGUCAGCAGGAUCAGAUAUGAAGGACUCCGGACCAGGGGUGGGAGUCACAGGCUAACUCAUGACCAUGAUGCUCAAACAGGGGGGGUUAAUGACACUGGGGAGUCUGAUGUUUAAUGGUUCUGUGCUUUGAUGUUUCGGGGUUCUGUGCAUUGAUGUUUAAGGGUUCUGUGCUUUGAUGUUUCGGGGUUCUGUGCAUUGAUGUUUCAGGGUUCUGUGCAUUGAUGUUUCAGGGUUCUGUGCAUUGAUGUUUCAGGGUUCUGUGCUUUGAUGUUUCGGGGUUCUGUGCAUUGAUGUUUAAGGGUUCUGUGCUUUGAUGUUUUGGGGUCAUGGGCAUUGAUGUUUAAGGGUUCUGUGCAUCAAUGUUUCGGGGUUCUGUGCUUUGAUGUUUUGGGGUUCUGUGCUUUGAUGUUUAAGACCAGACUCACCCAAGGCAGGGAGAGCAGCAGCAAAAAGUUUCGUCCUAACCAUCAUCAGGACUUAUCAGUAGUUUAGUUUAUUUAAAAUGAUUCUAACAUAGAUUUUUGAUGGGAAAAUACCAACUAGAUUAGACAACAACAUCUCCUAAUAUUUGUGUUUUUGCUGUUUAGUUUUGUCAAAGAUUCAAGUUAUUUUCAUGACAAAGAUACUUAUUUCUCAAAGAAUUUCCAUUUUAUUUAACUGUUUUUGUUUAUUUAUGAAUUUUAUGUUGCUUUUGCUGUAAAUGAAUCAUUUAAUUAAUUUUAUUAUUUCUUUUAUUUUAUUGUACUUAUUUUAAAAAAAUCCUUCUUUAAUCAUUUAUUUACUCACAUAUAUUUAUUUAGUUAAUUAUUUUUAAUUUCUUUUUUUAUUUAUUUAUUCACACUUGUUUUAUUUGCUUAACCUUUUUCAUUUAUUCCUAAAUUUCUUUAUUUAAUCUCAUAUUUCAAUUCUUUAUUUAUUUACCUACUAAUAUUUAAUUUUCUAUUUAGUUCUUAAAUUAAUAUUGCCUUUAUUAUCAAACAUUGAUCUAUUUAUUUAUCUCCUUAUUUACAUAUUUUUAUUUUCCUACCGAUUCCCUUCCCUAUUUCUUAUUUUUUUCAAUUCAUUUUUUCAUUCACUCAUUUAUCAACUGACUAUUUUAUUGACACAUUGACAUAUUUACUUUUUAUUUACAAACUUUUUUUUAUUUAUUUCUACGUUUUUUUAUUUACUUAAUUUUUAAUUUUCAAAUUUUUAUUUAUAUACCUGCCAGCCUUCCUACUUCAUUUUAUUUAUUUCUAUUUUACUUAUUUACUUAUUUUGCGGAUCUUUGUCUGAGAAGCAGAAAAACUUUGGUGUUUUUCUUGAAAACUGACCUCUCAUCCAACAAGAAGUCGUCCAGUUCUUGCAGCUCCUGUGUGAGAUCCUCCUGUUGACAACAGAAAAGAGGAUUUAUUUCACUUUUUCACUUCAGUGCAUCUUUUACUCUCCAGUUUUCCUCUCUUUGCUCUGGAUCUCUGUUUGCCUGUUUACUCCUGAAUUCCUUUUUCCACUCGUAGCAACAUCAUUUACACAAACACACACACUCGUCCCUGUCUCUCCUUCUGUUGUUUGCAUUGUCGACUUUCCUCUCACCGGGAUCGCUUUGGCAGAAAAUCUCCACAAAUGAGGGAGAAACUGAGGGAGAAGACGAGGAGGCAGAGAGAUGAUAAACAGGAAAGAGAGAAAGGCGGAGAUAUGAGCGAGUGAAAGACGGGAUAAUAGGCAAAAGUCCAGGAUAACCAAAGAGGAGGAGGAGGAAACAUUCAUCCUGAGGAGAAUGAAUCUGAAAGGAGAGGAGUGAAAGAGAGGAGUAAGACAAAGAGGAAGAGAUGAAAAGAUAGCCUGAGCUGGGAAUAUGAUGAGAGAGGAGGUGGAGGAGGAGGAGGAGGAGGGAAAGUUAGGAGAGGAAAGCGUAGGUGGUUGUUGCUGAAUUUCUCCGUCCCCCUCCUCUCAGGCUUGGCAGGAGUCAAGUUGACUGAAACCAUCUGGUGUUUUUUUUUUUAUUCUGUGGUCUUUGUGCUUCACAACCUGCAGACAGACACAGGAGAGGACACGGGCUGUCUGCAGACACAAACCAGACAUAAAAAAAACAAAAAACACCUCAGAGAAGUUAUCUUCUAACAAUGGACGGAUGAUAAAACCUGAAUCAGUCAGUCUCUGAGAGGGUUUUAAACCUGCAUCAACCUUAAUCUACAGACUGCAUGUUCCUGAUCGUAGCAGAGAGUAAAGAUGUUGGUUCAUGAAUAUUUUGUGUGUUAUCGUAGAGUUAUUGUGUUAUCAUUUCCAGGGUUGAGGAUGCUGGUUUGUAGAUUUGUAGGUUUGCAGACACCUCAGAUUUAAAGCUCCUGUCAGGAACUUUCUGCAGCAGCGUUUAUGUCUUCCUGAUAUUUCACCCUUGGACUCAGGCCUGUCUGCAGAGGUAGGUCUGGGUCCAGCCCCAGUCUGUCCUCAUCUUUAAGGUUUUUAAUCAUUUCAGGGACGAUUUUUGACACUGAAUUUGUGAGGAUGUUGUUUUCAGUCUGUCCUCUGAAUAAAGUUCUUACAGACCAGAGAAAUUCACGUCACGGUCUCCAGGUCUUUGUUUUCAGUCUGAUUGUGACUCUCGUCUGUCCUCCUGGUCUUGUUAGUGGACAUGCGUCUCUCUCUCGUCCUGGCAGGCGUUUAAAGUCAGUCAGAGUCCCAGGAGAAAGGUUGAAGAAGCAGUUUGGACUGAAGCGAAGUCUGCAGCCUCCAAAUGAGAUUAGUCAGACUUUUAACUCUUUCUCAGCUCCUCUCUGUUUCUGAUUAUGUCCUCUUCUAUGAUGCUCAUUGUCCUUUUUCCUCAUCCAUCUUCAUCCAUCUCUCCCACGCCCCCUCUCCCUCCCCUCUGAUCCAUCUUUCCUCUCGUUUGCCCCAGACUUUCUCCCCCUGUUUGUCCUUUUUUCCUCCACAGAAAGAGACCUUUGUGUCCAGAUAUGAGAGGAAUGCCACUGUAUUUUUUCUUGUUUUCCUCUAAGCUCCUCUUCCUCAUCUUUCCUCCUCCUCUUCCUCUUUUUUGUGUGCCGUUGUGGUGGUGGUGGUGGGUCGGGGGUGCAUCCAUUAGCUGGGAUUAGACACUGUAGGAGGGUCUUAACAGCCCCUCUGUGUUCGGGUUUUAAUCCCCUCAGAAACAGCUAAUCUAACUUCAAUGGCUUUUACAUGUUCAGCGCAAAAUCACACACACACACACACAUGUGCAAACACACACACAUGUACAAACACACACUCAUGUACAAACACACACUUCCUCCUGCAAAUGUGUGACUGGUGUGUGUGUUUUUAUGGUCAGUGUGGUCGAACCAUGACGGGGUUCAUUCAUGAAGUGACCACAAACACAGAGGGCGCUUUAUCAGCCGAAUAUCUGACCUACGAUAUCACCAGUCACUGCGAUGACAAACGACCACGAGUCCGACUGGAACAUGACGACCAGCUGCUGACACACACGACAGAAAUCUGAUUCAUAGGCAGAGAGUCUGUGAGGACACGGAUUCAUCGGUCAGACAGGAAGUUAGUUUGACCCGGAGCCCCUUUGAAUUCAUACUCCUGCAAAAUCAUCUGCAUAGAAGCAGAUCCAGUUAUCAGAGGAGACCUGUACGUGGAGCAGGAUCGGUGUCACUCAUUCAGUCUCAAAGUACGGACGAUACUUUUGACCGUAUCUGGUCUUAUUUAAACAAUCUGAGCGCGCAACGAUCCGAGCGUGUUAGCCGGAUUUACUUCUGUGCGCAAAUCUACCUGCACAGCUCUGGUAACAUUUUCAUGUGCAGCUUCAACAGCCUCCGUCUCCAAAUAACAGGAUGGACUCUGGGCUUUGGACCAGUUUUUAUUGCCCUAAGGUGGAAACCCUUUCUGCGUACUUUUUUUUUUUUAAUUUAUUUUUAAUUUUAUUUUGAAUCUAUUAUUUUAUUUUUUCCUUUUUUAUUUUAUCUUUUAUUUUUCAUUUAAUAUUUAGUUUUUUUAAUUUGUCAUUUUAUUUUAUUUUUUAUUUAAUUUGUUUAUUUUUAUUUAUUUUUUUAAUCUAAUUUUUUGUAUAUUUUUUAAUUUUGUCAUUUUCUUUCAUUUAUUUAUUUUUAUAUCUUUAUCUUUAAUUAAAUCUUUUUAUUUAUUUUCGUUUUUUAAUUAUUUAUCUCAUUUUUUAUAUGUUUUUUAUUUUUAUCCAUUUAUUUUUUUAUUUCUGCAUCCUUGACAUAGCAAUGCUCCACCCUUGCUCCUGACCACACCUCAUUUCAAAACAACAAAUUUGUGGUUGUUAAUAUUUGUUUGUUUUUAAUGUAAUGUGGGCGCUAAAAAGUAGGAGUGCGUCCAUCAUCAUCAUCAUCAUCACCGUCAUCGUCAUGUCCUUUAAAUGUGACUUUAAUAUGCACUAAAAUUCUGACACAAAACUAACAAACAUGAAAACAUGAAGCAGCUCUCAAACAGGAAUCGGCUCAAUUAUUGAUGGUCAAAUAUUUCCUAUAAUCAGGUUUGUUUUUUUUUUUUUUUUGAGUCAUGGAUGAUCCAAAAGAGACAACUUGGAUUAAACAACGAUGGAGAGAGCAGAUAUCUGAGUAUUUACAGUAAAAUCCUGUUUCAUCUCGAGGUUAAUCAGAUUUCUUCACUCAGCACACUCACACUUGGAUAUUUGAGCAGCAGCUCCGGUUAAAAAAGUAAAUCAGUUAAAGGUUUGGAGUUUUUUUAAAACUCAUCAACACCUGAAGUUGUCCAUCUGAAUCCUUUCAUAUUUGUUUGCAGAAUUGCAUCAAUGAUACAGUUUAUUUUGGGGAGAGUUUACUCUGCAGCAGGAAGCGAAAGCUUGCCGAAUUUGCUCGCUGUAAACGCCGCUCUGCAGAGGUCAGCGCCACAGUCGGUGUCUAUCAGAUAAAUCCUGAUCCUGACCUCAGAUAUCAGGUCUUCAAACUGAGCUCCUCAGGAAAGUUCAUCCAGACACGGAUCAUGGAGGAUUAACCAGUUUGUGAGUCUUUUUACGACACCGGGAAUCCAAACUGGAGCUGAGAGUGGAAAAAGGAUUUUUAUAAAACAAUCAGACUGAGGAUCGAUUGAUCGGUCGUCAAACGGCACAGAAACAUCAGCUUAAACACAGAGACGACAAAGUUAUCAUGUCGUAGAAAGAUCUGGAAUCAAAGACGGUUUAUUCCACAAUAAGAGUAAAGCUACUGUUACAGGAAAUGAAAGUAACCUGCACUUUCAGAAUAAAAGCCUCUGAACAGGAAGAAUCCUCAACAAACAUCAUUGAAAAUACUUGAAGCUUCACAUCUUUAACAUUAUUUUAAAGUAUUUUAUAAACGAGCAGCUCGUCUGUUUACCGGGAAACAAAAACCUGAAUCCGUAUGUUUGUCUGAUAUGAGGAACUGGAAUCGGCGGCGCCGACAGCGGCGUCAGUCAACACUGACAGCUGGUUGGCUGACGGCUGAGGGAUUUCUUGCACCUUUUUUAUGCCAAGAUGCUCAAAUUAAUGCAAAUCCGCUCUCGGGGUAAAAGAACCUCUAGAUUUGGGUCUGGUUUAUCGUCUCUUCUGCUUUUAUGGUUUCUCCUCACCUACAGGAAAUCCCUGCUGCCAUUACUCCUCCUAAAUUAGACCAUCUGUGCGCCUCCUCUCUUAGAUACUGUUUUUGUUUGCCUCGCCGCGCUCUCGGAAAAAACCAAAAAGGAUUCGGCUGAUUUGACCGGUGGAGUCAGAGCGAAAGGGGGGAGGCAGGUGGGAAGUGAGACAAUAGCAGGAGAAAGUGUGUGAGGGAGAGAGAGAGAGAGAGAGAGAGAGAGAGAGAGAGAGAGAGGUGAAUCAGGGAGAUGAAGGGAGUGGCACCGGAGAGCGAGCGAGGGAGAGGUGUGAGGGACGGAGUGGGGGAUGGGAAAAAAGGGAGGGGCGGCGUGGGGGAUGGGGGAGAGAGAGUGAGAGAGCGAGAGAAAUAUUGCUGCGUGCUGCUGGAGUCAGGGGGUUACCAUGGUGAUGGGGGACUGACGGGAAGAGAUGGGAGAAGAGGAGGAGAGGGGAAGAGCGGCUGCGUUCAUAUCCACUUUAAACACAAAUGCAAAAUGACAUUUUCCUCGACUGAUCGAAUCAAACGAUAAACAUCAAAUCUGCUUUUAAUUCGAACCUUCCUUCCCGGAGGAGGAGAAGGAGGAGGAGGAGGAGGAGGAGGGAUGGAGGAGAGCAGGAGAUAAAGAGAGAGAGAGAGAGAGAGAGAGAGAGAAGCUUUCUGGGAGGAGAUGGAGAAACGUGAUCCCUCACCUGGGAGCGCUGUAACUUGGAGACGGAGUUGUGGCUUCGAGAGGAAAGACGGACAAAACGAAGACUUGGAUUCAGCUCCACAGUCACUAAACGAAACACUCAUGAUGACCUUCAACAUCAGAGCGGACCAGAGGGUCCAAACACGACUUUAAAGGGAUAUUCUGCUGUAAAAUUAAUUCAGGGUCAAACCCACCGUAACACCGAGUUAGACCCCCCCUCCAGAGAUGAAUGUUGUCGACCGCUUGCUUCUCUAGUUAUACCAACUUUAGUAACGACCGCAGGAUAGCAAUACAGAGAGCCACGCCCCCAACCAAAACGCCACUCUAUAGCCACAAAUAAUGCUCAGAACAGCACCUAACUUCAUCAACAGGACAUAUAGGGUCACAGCCAUAGUACUAGACACCAAACAUCUUUUUAACUUUGACUCAUUUCUUUAACAAAGAGACUAAACACAACUCACCUACUCUCUUCCAGCAGACGCUUGUUUGUAGACAGACCUCAGGCCAGUCCAUUACAGACUACAGCGGGGUGCCGCAGCUCAAGGAAGAACAUUUAUGAUCCUUGAAGUAAUAAUCACCAUAUUGAUCAUUUUACAGACGCGGUAGUUCUUCUGUCUCAGCGUCUCAGUCUGAUUGUGUUUCCAUGAAGAAAUGAUCAUAAAAAAAUAAAGAUAAAAAACAAAUGAAGGAAACGAUCGUCUGUUUACACAUGCACAGAAUUUAGACACAAAAUACUUGACCUGCACACAAACAGCUGAUGAGUAUUGACUUUGAUUUUUGAUGUACGUCUAUUCAAACAACAUCUACUUUCUUUAAAACAAUGAACCUCUGAAGAUACUGGGAUUUUAUUGGCUGAAUCAGCUGCUCGGCUGCAGAGUCAAAGUGCUCCGAGGACUUGGUUCAGUUUGGUGUUUCAGAUCUGCGAUGAUACCGUCAUAAACCAGAGUUAAAAAAGUGUUUCAGGAGAAUUUAAAGCUGCUCAUAAAUCACAUCUGUGAAUCUGUGUGUCUGAAGCGUCGCUCAAACUCUCAAACUGUGGAUGUUUUUGAGGCGGUUUCUGCGUCUGAUCCUGCGUAGUCGCCGUCAGGCCUCGCUCUCUCACGCCUUGAACAUGAAGAGGAUGAGGUAACCGCGUGAGGAGCUGCAGAAUCAAAGUACCGCCCUCUACCUGCCAGGAGGGAUGAGGUGUGAUGUGUGAGCGGCUGGUGGAGCCGCUGGGAGACCGAGGAGGCGAGCCAGACGAGCCUCUGGGUGGUGGUGGGUGUGCGUGGGUGGAGGGUUCAGGGGAGACGGUGUGUGGGCGGCUGGUGUGUGUGUGUGUGUGUGUGUGUCAGUGGGACUCUUCUGCAUAAUGUGGAGUAAUUCAGGUUUAUUAUCGCCGGGGGCCUC